CCUACGGGACGCACCAGUGGGGAAUUUUCCGCAAUGGGCGAAAGCCUGACGGAGCAAUGCCGCGUGGAGGUAGAAGGCCCCCGGGUCGUGAACUUCUUUUCCCGGAGAAGAAGCAAUGACGGUAUCUGGGGAAUAAGCAUCGGCCAACUCUGUGCCAGCAGCCGCGGUAAUACAGAGGAUGCAAGCGUUAUCCGGAAUGAUUGGGCGUAAAGCGUCUGUAGGUGGCUUUUUAAGUCCGCCGUCAAAUCCCAGGGCUCAACCCUGGACAGGUGGUGGAAACUACCAAGCUGGAGUACGGGAGGGGCAGAGGGAAUUUCCGGUGGAGCGGUGAAAUGCGUAGAGAUCGGAAUGAACACCAACGGCGAAAGCACUCUGCUGGGCCGAUACUGACACUGAGAGACGAAAGCUAGGGGAGCGAAUGGGAUUAGAUACCCCGGUAGUC
rnacentral:rRNA from 1 species